CCGUAGUUUUCCAUUCCGCUAUUAAAAAGUUUUAUUCUAGCUAUGGAAUUUCUUAUUUUGUUGGUUCACAUGUGAGAUUUUUCGAGAAACGAGAGUUGUCUGAAAGACAAGAGUUUAGUUUAAUCGCAGUGUUUUGUAUUAAAUAUCAAGGAUGCUUGGAGUUAGCAAUUGAAUGAGUCCCGGCAAAAUUCGUGCCAGCCGCCGCGGUUACACGAAAGGGGCAAAGAUAUUUUCUUGGUUUGUAGUUAGUUUUGGGGUUAGGGUUAGAACGGGAAUUUUGUUAGGUGAAAUUUUAAUAUUUGGGUUAAUCUAAGAAGGUUGAAUGAAGUUACGAAAUUUAGUAAAAAGACUAGGAUUAGAUACCCUAUUAUUCUAAACGUUGAAAGUAGGCCUGAGUAGUAAGAGAUAAGGUCUUGAAACUCAAAGAAUUUGGCGGUGUUUUAGUCCAUUCAGAGGAAUCUGUCCCGUGAUCGAUAUUCCACGUUUACUUAACUUGAAUUAGUCGUCAGCUUGUAUACCGCCGUCAAAAGAGUGAUUCUAGAGAAUAUCCUCAAAUUUUUUGACUGAAAUACAUGUCAGGUCAAGGUGCAGCUUAUGUUCAAGGGGAGAUGGGUUACAAUAAGGAUACUUACACGGAGAGUCAUUUGAAAUAAUGGUAGGAAGGUGGAUUUGAAUGUAAUAAAAUUAAAAGAAGUUUUGUGAAAGAGGCUCUAAAACAAGCACACAUCGCCCGUCGCUCUCGUUUGUUAAGGCGAGAUAAGUCGUAACAAAGUAGGUGUACCGGAAGGUGCCCCUAGAAAGU
rnacentral:ncRNA from 1 species